AGGCAUGCAAUUUAACCCAAAGUUACAAAAAAAUGGAAACAAUGAUUUCAUACUUGGUAGGAAAGGCAAUAGGGACAAGUAUUACACAACUAUGAUAAUUUUAUUGAAUUGUAACGUCCCUAAAUUUAUUCUAACACUUCCACUGACUAAAACAAGAAAAACAUAACCAUUUCACAUUAAACCCAGAUUCAUUUCAUUAUGCACAGACCUAAUCUUUAAAGAUUCUCGCUCAGCAUUAACUGAAUUAGUCGACUAGCAGUAGAAAUUAGACCCUAUUUAAUUCCCAUGAUCCCUUAGUUAUUUGAAUCAAUUCAAAUCCAAACCAUGUAGCUAGCUUGAUGGAUUGCAAGCUCUUAGAUAGGCCUGUAGUUGAGCCCAAUGAGUGAAUACCUCAAGCCCAUGAGCUGUCAGUUACCAAACCAAAGCAUUCAAACAAAAACAAAUAUGCAGGAAACAAUUGUCUUGUUGAGUAAUAAACAAGUUUCAAAUCAUACUUUUACAAUUUACUUUAUACAACUGAAUCUACCAAGUUUGCAGUAACAAUAGACUAUGAAUCAAUCAAUUACAUGUCCAUGAUUAAACAUUCCUGAAUAAUACUCAGCUGUGAAGUAACAAACAAACUUGAUCCACAUUAUCAAAAUAGCUACUCUAAUGACUACAAUUGAAAUUUCUAGUGGUGAUCUUCCAGAAAUAUGCCGGCUUUUCCAUGUCUAUUGACAAUCAGACUUCUGUUUCAGCUUUGAAAUCCAUGGAUCUAACCAUGUUAAAGGUCAGAUUCAUAAACAACAUGGAUUCACACGUGAGACCUACUGUAUUACCAAACAAACUCAACCAAUAGAUGCCAGAAUAUUGGACAAGAAUGAACAAAAAGAAACAGUGUACAUAAGCUGAAAUAAACAGAUGGCCAAUGCUGUAUUUAACACACAUAAGAAAAUAUAUUUUCAUGGUAUAGGGACACUAGAUGAACUGGGAGUUACAUAUUCAAAGAAAAGCUCAAAUAUUGUUACAUUUAGGUGGAUGAAUCACAUCAUAAAAGGAGAAAACAAGCACACAUCAUUGACAGAAAUAACUUGCAUUUAUCUUUAAUAACAGAUUUACAAAUACUUAAGCAUAGGGUAAAAUGUGUGCCUAGUUGCGUAAAAUUUGAUUCAAAAGUGCUAAGUGAAAACAGAUAGUUCAGCAGCCCAAGAAAACAACAGUAUACACCAACCACAUCUUUAGUAUCAGCUCAUAUCUUAGCUCAAGAACCCAGAAACUCAAGGAAAAUUCCUUCCAAAUUUUUGUAAAGAGAAGGAAAAUAGGAAAGCUGGAAGCUGUAUUUUUGUUUCAGAAGAUUUUGAGGACUGUAUGCUGAUGAAUGUGUGUGUGUGUGUGAGUGCAGGUUUUCUUUGCUUUUUAUAGAGUGUCUCUAAUAGCAUCCAAAAGAAUAUUCUUAACCUAAAUUCUGAAUAGUACAUCAUACUGUGACAGAGAAUAUUGGACAACUGUCCAGUUUUUCAGCAUAUUUUUAACCAAUUUUGGAUAGCUGUUCCUUCUAGAACCUUCCUUUUCCUAGAUAUUUUCUUCUAAAAUUUAUGAAAUUUUCCUAAGUUUCUUUUUAGUUUAAUUAGGCCUUUACAAGUCUAUAAUGACUUACAAAUUUGGCAAACAGGGACAUAGCACACACAAAUCAUAAUCCAAAUCAAAAUGAUAAACAAGAUAAAAUAAUGCAAUUUAAACCUAAAGUAUUGAAACUUUGAAAACCUAGACUAAUCCUAAACAGAUCUCAUAAUGCAAUUGAGAACUUAUUACUAUGAAGAGGGAAAAAACCUUUCAAAUUUAUCAGUAAGUAUGUUUAGAUGAUUCAACUAAUAUAAACAACCAAACAAACAAUGAACAUCAAAAUAUAAGAAAAAGAAAAGAUACUGCAACUAAACCUAGAUUCAUGCAAGCUAAACAAAAGAAAAAUAAAAGAAGAAAAAUGGGAAAGAAAAUACCCAAACGGCUUGGACUAGUCACAAUUCGGAGCAAUUUUGAUGGGGGUAAAAUAAACCUAAACUAACAUCAAUCGAUUGAUCUCAUCAAGAGCAAUCGACUGAUGUAAGUCAUGGGUCCAAGGACCAACCUCGCAUGCCCAAAUCAGAGGCCAGAAACAAAACUAGGGUUCCAAAAUCAGAUCCAGAAUUAAUGAAGUAAGGAUGGGGGUUUUGGGAAAUCGACUAUGAUUUAAGGUUUAGAGGUGUGUGAGGAGUGCGGGGUGUUGCUUUGGGGUGGUUUCGUCGAUUUAGGGUUUUGGGUGUGAGUUUCAGAUUCAAAAUUACUGGAAUUUAGUGGGGGGUUUUGGUGAAAAGGUUGGUGGAUAAGUGAAGAAGGGGGUCUAGGGAUUAUGGGAGGUGAAUUUGAGGCGGUUUGGAGGUACUCCGCCGCCAUAAGGCGAUUUUCGGGCGGCGGAGAGAGGCGGAGUUGGCGAGAGAUUUUAGGGCGGCUAGGGUUAGUCUCUGAGAGAGAGAAAAGAGAACGGGGGGGGGGGGGGGGNNNNNNNNNNNNNNNNNNNNNNNNNNNNNNNNNNNNNNNNNNNNNNNNNNNNNNNNNNNNNNNNNNNNNNNNNNNNNNNNNNNNNNNNNNNNNNNNNNNNNNNNNNNNNNNNNNNNNNNNNNNNNNNNNNNNNNNNNNNNNNNNNNNNNNNNNNNNNNNNNNNNNNNNNNNNNNNNNNNNNNNNNNNNNNNNNNNNNNNNNNUUUUUGGUUUCGUGGGUCGGACCCUAAAUUUAGAAACUACCCUAACCCCUUUCUUUUUGUUUUUCUUUUAUUGUUCUUUUUCUUUUCUUUUUUCUUUUUUUGUUUCUUUAAUUUUAAAACCCUAAUUAAAUUAAUUAAGUCCUAAAUUAAUCUAAUCAUAAAAUCGAACUAAUUAUCUAUUUAUAAUAGUUAAACCUAAAUUAGUGAAGGGAAACUUACUAAUCUAGUAUUAAAAGCUAAAAAUGUAAAAGUGAAUGAUAUUUUUUUGAUUUUCAUUUUAAUAAAGCAAAUAAUUAACCAAUUAAUCAUAAAACAUGAACACAAAAUUUAAUAUGCACUACAUGAUAUUUUUUGAUAUUUUUGGGACAUUGUUUCAUGAUUUUAACAUAAAACAUGAACACAAAAUUUAAUAUGCAAUGCGUGAUAUUUUUGGGACAUUUUUUCAUGAUUUUAUCAAAAUUAAACGUGCAAAAAAAUGCAAACAAUUAAUAAAAUCUUACAAAAAUUCUAUAAAAUUGAAAACAAUUUGGAAAAAAUCUAUUUCUUUAAUUUUGUAGGAGUAUCUUUUAGUAGGGCAAAAAUCUCAUGCUCACAGCUGCCCCUCUUUGCUCGGAAACACGAAGAGUUUUGGGGCAAAAAUAAAAUUAGCAAUUACGAGUGAUUUUGUCCUUAUGGAUAAUCCCUGGGAAGCAUUUUUUGGAAAACAUCUGAGCGAACCUUGCUUCGGAGGUUGCCUACAUAUCCUUGGCUAUAAAGGAAUCAGGUCAGUGUAGUUCUAGAAGUUUUGGUAGCUGGGACUACCGAGAAACUGUGAUUUCACUGCUGUUGCUGCUGUUUCUACUUGAUGAGCUCCUUAUUACACCAAAAUGAAAAAUGAAAAACUAGCUAACUAAAUAUAUCAACUACGAGUUACAAGAUUCCUAUCUAUAAACCUUCUGAAGCUUGAUCUUGAGUCUUGGCUGGUUCUUCCUACAGACUCCGAUCUGAAUCUUGAUGCUCGUUAGCUGCGAAUGCUGGUUCAUUUUUCUUCAUCUUUUCAGAUCAAGGAGGGACAUGCAAAGCUUGUCACUUUAAUCAUAUCUUGAGCAGUCCACAUCUUUUCUCCGCUUCUACACUUAGAGUUCACUUCUUUUCUUGUUCUUCUUUUCUUUUAUUUGGAUUGAGAUUUCUUCUUUUGGUCAUCUCAAACCUCGUGCCUCAUGGUUAAAACCUUUUCAGGCACCAAAACUAACAAACGAACAAAAUUUUUCUGUCUCCGUUUUCACUAAGAAAAUUUCGUGAGUUAUUGUAACAAAAAUCUAAACUACUUCUUUAUUGAAAGCAACAAAAAUCAGGAUUGUGUAUCCUUGAGAAAAAAAUAUUAGGGAAUGGAGACCCUGUAUCUAACAUGAAAUCAACUGGGGAUUGGAGGCCCUAAGUUGGAAAGAUUACUAGGUUAUGCUGGCAUCAACUAAGGAAUGAGACCCUAUAUUGGAAAGAUUACCAGGUUAUGCUGGCAAAGUCAUCGGGUUAUGCCAGAAAGGUCAUCAGGUUAUGCCAGAAAAUCAUCGGGUUGUGCCAGAAAAUUCAUCGGGUUAUGCCGAAAAAGUCCUCGGGUUAUGUCAGGAAAGUCAUCGAGUUAUGCAGGAAAUGUCCUCGGGUUAUGCUGGGAAAGUCAUCGGGUUAUGCCUAAAAAGUCCUCGGGUUAUGCCGGGAAAGUCAUCGGGUUAUGCCGGAAAAGUCAUCGGGUUAUAUAGGGAAAGUCAUCGGGUUAUGCCGGAAAAGUCCUCGGGUUAUGCCGGAAAAUUCAUCGGGUUAUGCUGAAAAAGUCCUCGGAUUAUGCCAGGAAAGUCAUUGGGUUAUGCCAGAAAAGUCCUCGGGUUAUGCUGGGAAAGUCAUCGGGUUAUGCCUAAAAAGUCCUCGGGUUAUGCCGGAAAAGUCAUCGGGUUAUGCCGAAAUCAACUAGGGAGUAGGGGCCCUAUGUUGGGAAGAUUACCAGGUUAUGCUGACAUCGACUAGGGAAUGAGACCCUAUGUUGGAAAAGAUGUAGCUAGAUAUUGGAGACCCUAUGCUAUCAUGGUUUUGAAUUUUUCUUCUUCUUUCUUUUCAUUUCACUUUUCAUUUUAUUUAGGAGAAUGAAUAAAGAGUUUGAAGGGGACUUCCCUUUUAAGGUUAACUUUUGCCGCAGAAUCGUUUUGGUCUCUGCGUACUUUGCUUUUAUCGCACCUGCUCCUUGCGGAGUUGUUUUGGAUUGUGCCUGUUUUCCUGUUUUCAAAUCAAAGAACAUUUUGUCAGUUUGAAACGGUGGUUGGUUUUGUGUCCUUAGUUGUUUCAAUCACUUGAUGUUGGCCCAACUCUUUCAAUAAAAGUCUUCAUUGCUCGCUGGCUUUCUGGAAAUUGGUGUCAUUUCUACAACCGGGAAUCUUGACUUUUCCCAAAUUCCCCAGGAUGACUAACCCGUGUGGGGCAUGUCCUUUUUCCAUCUUAUUUUGCCUUUAUGGGAACUUCACUUUGAUUUAUUUUCUUUUCAAGAGUUUUUUUGGCUCUGGAGCAUCGACCAUCAUGGCCAGUCGAGGUCGACUUAAUGCACCUGCUGAGGCUGGGUGCUUUCUUGAAUUUUAUCUUUUUGUCAAACAAAACCCUGUAAAACCAAUCUUGCCAUUUUUGCUUUGUAUUAGUUUCGGAGGAGAAUUAAACCGAAAGGGAUUCAAAGAAAAGUAAACAACAGACAGGAUAAUGAAUUUAAAUGAGAAGUGUCCCUUUCGGGGAAAGGAAAGAAAGACUUAUCUAGAGUGCAUGCAGACUUCAAUAGACAUGACAUGCUUCUUGGACUGGAUACCCGAUCUGUGUAAACCAUCUAACUCUCAUAAACCUUUCAUAACUCAUAACUUAAAAUCGAGAAACCUUGCCAGGACUCUAUCAGUGCCGAUGGUUGUAAGGGAUCCUUUUUCGAUCAGUGGCGUCCUUUGCGGGUUUUCGCCACCUGACCUCUCACAUUUCUCUUCUCACCGUCGUCUUAUAGUGCUCUUUGCGAGUUUUCACUAACAAGACUCUCUCAUUUUCAAUUUCUCUAUUCACCAUCGCCUUAAGGUGGUUGUAUGGGUUUUAACCAAUAGGACUCUCUCAUUUUAUUUCUAUCAUUUGAUUGUAUCAGAUCCAAGUAACCAUAUCCUCCAAUUUUGAACAUCUUUACCGAUUGAUCGGAAGGACUUGAACAUGGCUUGGGGUAAAAAAUGUUUGGAUUGAAUUACAACUUUGGAACCUCUUAGGUGAACUAUCGCCAAGCCAUUAUAACUUCUGCCCUAGUUUUACUUUUGGGGAAAUGUGGAUUUUUAUUUUGGUGUGACCGAACCCCAAAGAGAGGCUGCCUACGUAUCCUUUCGGAAUUAAGUCGAACGUAGUUCAGGAAACUUUCUUUUUGAUUUUCUUUUUGUUUUUUGUUUGUUCGUUUGUUUUUUUUACAACACUUUCAGGUUCUAAAGAGGGUAAUCAAAGAAAGGUAACUAGCUCAAAGGGUUUGCAAAGGGUUAACAAUGUUUGGGUAGCGAGAAUGAAAGCCUUCGUCAUCCCAAUCGGAGAAUAUUAGUAUCGCAGAAGGGUUAAACGUAAUACCUUUUGCCAGCGUCCACAUUGACAGUUGUUUUGGGAUCAUUUCCUUCGAUGUAUCCAAGUACAAUGUCACUUUCGGCAACAAUUUCCUUAUAAUGCACGGACCUUUCCAAUUUUGAGCGAAUUUUCCUUUUGCUUCCUUAUGAUGCGGGAGAAUGCGUCUCAAGACGAGUUGCCCCACUUCAAAGUUCCUAGGCCGCACGUUUUUAUUGUAGGCACGGGCCAUUCUUUGUCGAUACAACUGCCCGUGGCAAACAACGGCCAUCCGCUUUUUAUCAAUCAGGGUUAACUGUUCUAGACGGGUCUUGACCCAUCCAUUAUCCUCAAUCUCAGAUUCAACGAUGAUUCGAAGGUAUGGAAUUUCAAUUUCUACGGGUAUUAUAGCUUUAAUUCCAUAAAUCAAUAGAUAGGGUGUUGCCCCAACUAAUGUGUGCACAGUGGUGCGAUAUCCCAACAAUGCAAAAGGCAACUUUUCAUGCCAUUUUCUAGAACUUUGAAUCAUUUUCCUGAGGAUGUUCUUGAUGUUUUUGUUUGAUGCUUCAACAACACCAUUCGCUUUGGGCCGAUAAGGGGUAGAAUUCCAAUGUGUGAUCUUAAAUUGUUUGUUUACCUCCCUCAUCAAAUGACUGUCAAAUUUGCAGCAUUGUCCGUAAUGAUAGUUUUAGGAAUAUCAAAACGAUAGAUAAUGUUGGAAUGCACGAAGUCCACCACUGCUUUCUUGGUGACGGCUUUGAGAGUGACUGCUUCAACCCACUUUGUGAAAUAAUCAAUGGAAACUAAGAUGAAUCUGUGCCAAUUGGAAGCUUUCAGUUCGAUUGGCCCAAUGACAUCCAUACCCCAAGCAACGAACGACCACAGUGCCGACAUAUGAUGCAAUUCUAAAGGCGGUGCAUGAAUCAGGUCACCGUAUACCUGAUACUGAUGACACUUUCAGACAAAACUGAAACAAUCCUUUUCCAUGAUCAUCCAGUAAUAACCUGCCCGAAGGAUUUUCUUUUCAAGGACGCAUCCGUUCAUAUGGGGUCCGCAUACUCCUGUGUGCACUUCAUUCAUGAUUUUUCCAGCCUCUUAGGCAUACACACAUCUUAGAAGGUUUAGAUCUGGAGUCCUUUUAUACAGGACUUCUCCGCUCAAGAAGAAACUACCAGCGAGCCUUCUAAUGGUUCUCUUUUGGUCUCCACUAGAUUGUUCGAGAUAUUCCUUUGUUUUUAAGAAUCUUUUGAUAUCAUGAUACCAUGGAUGAGCAUCUUGUUCUAUCUCAAUUGUAUUGCAAUAACCAUAUCUUUCUCGAAUUUGGAUUUUCAGUGGGUCAAUAUGGACAUUGCCUGGAUACUGCAGCAUUAAGGCCAAAGUAGCCAAUGCAUCGGCUAACUCAUUGUGAAACCAAGGAAUGUACCUGAACUCGACGGAUUUGAACCACUCGCUAAGAUCUUCCAUAUGUUGCUUGUAUGGGAUAAGCUUGAUAUCUCGGGUUUCCCAUUUACCUUGAGCUUGUCGGAUAAUCAAGUCAAAAUCUCCCAUGAUUAACAAUUCUUCUACAUCCUGAUCAACCGCCAUGUUCAUGACCAUAAUGCAAGCUUCAUACUCGGCAGUGUUGUUCAUAUAGAAAAACCGAAGCCAGCUAUUGCCAGAUAGUGCUGACCAGUGGGCGAAAUCAAAAUUGCUCCAGUCCCGACACCUUUUGCAUUCACAACUCCGUUGAAGAACAUUUUCCAAGCAUUGGUGUCUUCUAGAAUUACCUCAACUGAAUUUACCUCCUUGUCCGGAAAGUAAGUACUCAAGGGUUGAUAUUAAUCAUCAACAAGAUUCUUAGCUAGGUGAUCUGCCAAGGCUUGAGCUUUUAUUGCCGUGUGGGUGACACAAACUAUGUCAAACUCGGUGAGCAGGAUUUGCUGUUUUGCUAACCUCCCUGUGGGCAUCGACUUUUGGAAUAUGUACUUCAAAGGGUCCAGCCUGGUGAUGAGAUAGGUGGUGUAAGCCAACAAGUAAUGCCUAAGCUUCUGAGCGACCUAAGUUAAGGCGCAACAAGUUCUUUCCAAAAAAGUGUACUUGGCUUCAUAACUAGUGAACUUCUUGCUCAAAUAGUAUAUGGCUUGUUCUUUCUUCUCAGUCACAUCAUAUUGCCCGAGAACACAUCCAAAAGAAUUCUCCAACACUAUCAAGUAUAAGAACAAAGGCCUUCCAGGCUUGGGUGGGAUCAACAUUGGCGGAUUCGACAUAUAUUCUUUGAUUUUAUCGAAAGCUUCUUGACACUCCUUUUUCCAUCUAAUCGCCGUAUCUUUCUUCAACAACUUAAAUAUGGACUCACACGUGGAAGUCAACUGAGCAAUAAAUCUGAUAAUGUAAUUCAACCUACCCAGCAGACUCAUAACCUCUAUUUUGGUUCUCGAAGGGGGCAAAUUUCGAAUAAAAUUUAUCUUUGUUGGAUCUAGCUCGAUGCCUCUCUGACUGACUAUAAUCCACAAAAAGUUUUCCAAAUGGAACUCCGAAUGCAUAUUUAGCUAGAUUUAACUUCAAGUCAUACUUACGCAGACGCUCAAAGAACUUUCUCAGAUCCCUUACAUGGUCGUCCUGCGUUCUGAAUUUAAUGAUCACAUCAUCGACAUACACCUCAAUUUCUUGGUGCAUCAUGUCGUGAAAGAUGGCAGUCAUAGCUCUUAUGUAAGUUGCCCUAGCAUUAUUUAAACCAAAUGGCAUGACCUUGUAACAAUAAGUACCCUAAGGUGUGGUAAAAGCCGUCUUUUUUGCGUCUUCUUCAUCUAUCAGAACCUGAUGAUACCCAGCAUAACAAUCUACGAAAGACUGUUUCUCAUGUUUGGCACAGUUGUCAACAAGGAUGUGAAUGUUUGGUAAUGGAAAGUUGUCCUUGGGUUUGCUUUGUUCAAAUCCCGAUAAUCAACACGCACUCGGGUUUUCCCAUCUUUCUUUGGCACCGGGACCAUAUUAGCCAACCAUGUGGUGUAUCGUACCACUCGGAUCACACUCGCUUUCAACUGUUUGGUGACUUUUUCUUUGAUCUUGUCACUGAUGUCUGUUUUAAACUUUCUCUAUUUUUGUUGUACAGGUGGAUAACCGGGGUAAGUUGGCAAUUUGUUCACCACUAAAUCAACACUUGGUCCUGGCAUAUCAUCAUAGGACCAGACAAACACGUCCUUGAAUUCGAACAAAAGUUGGAUCAAUGCAUCCCUAGUUCUUUCAUCAACGUGAAUGCUUAUCAUGGUUUCCUGGACCUCUUCCGAACUACCCAAAUUAACCGACUCAGUUUCAUUUAAGUUUGGCUUAGGCUUAUUCUCAAAUUGUUCUACUUCUCGAUUUAUUUCCCUAAAGCCUCAUCUUUAUCAUAUCCUGGUUCUUGAUUCAUUAUUUUAUAGUUAGAUAACGUAUUAAGAUCUGGGCAUGAAGUCCACAAACAUGUCAUGUUAUUUAAGCCCGCAUUAUUAGAACUGAAAAGAGAGAUAAGAAAAAUAACAAAAAAUCAGAAAGAAUAAAGAAAGAGAUUCAUAGACGAUGAAAUAUUGAUUUCAUUUCAUUGAAUUUGAAUAUAGAAGGGUUUACAUCGAAAUUUAAAAGACAAUAAACUAAAAACAUUCGAGUUACACCCUGAAAUAACUUGGAAUGCAGAAAAGAUGGCAAGACUGAACUACCGGGAUUCCCGCCUGAAUGGGAACAAAGUAGCCUUUCAAUUUUGAAGUUUGGCAUUUAUCCCAAUAUAUUGAACCUCAGUAGUGCUUGAGCCUUCACCCAACUGGACCAUGUGAGCCUCAUAUAACAUUUGCCUAAUUGGCCCACAAAUGUCCUCAAUUUCUUCGUCGUGAAGGCCUCUUCUUCUUCUUCUUCUUCUCUGUACCUUGGCUUAACAAACGUUCUGGCGAGAUGUGGGACCGGCUUAGGUAGGACCCACCCAUUGUUCUUACGUUCAUUAGCCUAUUUUACGUCGGGUUUUGUAUCUUGGAAACCAACGCCAAAGAAUUUCUCACUGUAGGUCAAAGUGAUGGGCUCUGUAAUGCCUUGCAAAGAUAUCCCGAGCCCUUUCCUGGGCUUGUAGCCAUGUUAGAUCAUUUCACUGGCGACCAUGAUUGACGUGUUUGACAAGAAGUGUUGAGAACAUGGGGUUCCUUCCUCACAUUGGUCCGUGACCACGAUCUCAAAAGCUUGGUAGACUAUGUGUUCGCUACCUUCUUAGCCUCCAGACAUGGGACUGACGGGUCCUUGUAGAUUGAUUGCUCAUCUUCUCCGUGGACCACGAUUUCUUGGUCUUCAUGUUCAAACUUAACCAUUUGGUGAAGAGUAGAGGGUACAGCUCCUGCAGCAUGGAUCCAAGGCCUUCCUAGGAGAGAAUUGUAGGAUGUGUCCAUGUCCAAAACCUGAAAUGUUACUUCAAAAUCCACAGGGCCGAUGUUUAGGAUCAAAUCAAUCUCCCCUAUCAUAUCCCUCUUCACACCAUCAAAAGCACGUACACAAACAUUGUUGGGUCAAAUUAUUUCAGUCCCAAUUUGUAUUCUCUAUAAGGUCGAGAGAGGGCAGAUGUCAACCCCAGAUUUGUCAUCCAACAUAACUCUUUUCACGUAGUAUCCUUCACAUUUAACGGUCAAAUGAAGAGCUUUGUUAUGGGCAGUCCCUUCUGGAGGCAAGUCAUUUCGGCUGAACGAAAUCCGGUUGACUUCGAAAAAUCAUUCCGCCAUUCUUUCCAAUUGUUCAACCGUGGUGUCGACUGGAACAUAUGACUCAUUAAGCGUCUUUAAAAACACUUUUUAAUGCUCAUUCGAGCUUAUCAGGAGGGACAAAAGUGAGACCUGAGAGGGGGACUACCUAAGUUGAUCACUCACAGCGUAGUCCGAGGUUUUCAUCUUUCGGAAGAAUUCCUUUGCCUCUUCAGCACUGACUGGAUUUUUAAGCGGAAAACGCUUCUAUUUGGUCUUGUUCAAUUCUUUCAAGUUGAGGUACUUCCCAUAUGGGUUCGUUUCAUUCACUUCCCCUAUGAUUUCCUUUCCCUUGUACGUCACCAUUGCUUUAUUGUAGUUCUAGGGGACGGUAGUGGUGUCCUUCACGAGAUUCUGUAGUGCGCGGCUGAUCACCACGUGCUCAGUCAGCCUAGGUAAAAUUAUCAGCCCCCGCACCACAUAAGUCCCCUUUGGUACGUACAUCUUUGGCACCUUCAGCAUAACCUUGUUUCAAACCUUUUGGGGGGACUCAACAUGAACUGUUCCUUUUUGGGGGCCCUGGGAACAUAAAAAAUGGAAUCUUUAGGAGGUACUGCCCCUGUCUUGGCUUCUACAGCCUUUUCUAUGCUUUGAGGAGUGGAGUUGCUCUUCUUCUCAUCCUUAGCUUGCUUUGUUGUUGCUUUGGGCUUCUUUUCAACAUCGACAAUAGCAAUGAUAGCUUUCAUAGCUGGGUUGAACUCUCUGUCCUCACAAAUCAUCCCAACAACUGGCCCGUUGUUGUGAGCUGGUAAUGGAUUAUUGGUUACCUUGGGGACCUCCUCAUCCAUCAACACUACCCGUUUUUGCUCUAUUAGGUUUUUGACCGCCCUUUUAAGGGUCCAGUAAUCCUCAGUGUCAUGCCUUUCUGCCCCUGAAUGAUAAGCAUAUCGGGUACCGGGUCGGUAGGAGGGUGACUCUGUGUUUUGCCUGUUUGGAGGUACGGGAUGCAACAAACCCAUUUGGACCAACUUUGGAAAGAGGCUGAAAUAUGAUUCACUGAUGGGUAUGAAGUUGGUUUUUCUGGGUGGUUCACGGGCAUGAGUGUUAUAUGGAAAAUUAUUCUGUGGCGGACGAGGAUUAUAUGAAGCUUGGUGAGGAGGGUUAUUUUUGGGAGGUGGAGCUCGAUUCUGGUUAUACUGUUGUUGCAGCCGAGCGUAUGGCUGGGCAUUCAUUACUACAUACAGUUGAGGAGUCAUGGCAUAUGCCGUGUCUUGGUGAGGGUAGUAAUGUUGCGGGGUUCUUGAAGAGGAACCAAAGUAAUCUCGGGGUUGACGGUGGUUACUUGAGGCCAUCAUUGCCACUUCUUCUUUCUUUUGCUCUGGAUUGCUUGAGAAGUAGCUCUUAUAGCCGACUGGCUCAAGAUGCGACCCGGUUUCAAACCACUUUCCACCAUCUCCCCAAUUUUUAUAGUUUCUGCAAAUGGCUUGCCCAUAGCGGAAAUCAUGUUCUGGAAGUAAUCAGCCUCUUGGGCUUGCAAGAAGACACUGACCACCUCGGCCUCAUCCAUUGGGGUUUCACCCUAGUUGCUUGCUCGUGCCACUUGAUAGCAUAUUCUCGGAAGCUCUCCGAAGACUUCUUUUUGAAAUUGGACAAAGAGUUUCUAUCUGGAGCUAUGUCCAUAUUGUACUGGAAAUGUCUGACAAAGUCUCGGGACAAGUCAUCCCAUAUGUGCCAGCGGGAGAUGUCUUGGUCCAUAUACCAUUCAGAUGCAAUUCCGGCUAAACUCUCCCUGAAGUAAGCCAUCAAGAGUUCUUUUUUUUCGCCUGCUCCUCUUAACUGAUUGCAAUACCUCUUCAGGUGAGCUAUGGGGUCCCCAUGUCCAUCAUAUUUUUCAAAUUUGGGAGUCUUGAAACCUAUGGGCAGAUGAACAUGAGGGAACAUGCACAAGUCAUCGUAUGACACACUCUUCUGACCACUUAGGAUUUGCAUGUUCUUGAGACUUUGUUCUAUGUUUUUCAUUUUCCGAGUGAUCUCCUCUUGCUCGGGAUUCUUUACAGUUCUCUUUUGUUCCAUGGUAGAUUCAUACCGAGGUUGUUGAGGGUAGGAGUUUGGGGUGGCAUGAGCCGUGUCGAAUUGAAAUGGUGGUAAUUGGAAAGUAAAGGACAAUGGCUCGACACCUGGCCUGGGUACUGUUGGCUGCCGUAGUAAUGGUUGGUGGUGUGGUGAAUAUGUUAGAAGACACUCCCGAAAUUAGUGCCUGGGGGCGAACUUCAGAAGGCGUUCUGGCCAAAUGGGCUGACAUAGUGGGGUAUCCAAAUGGGGUGGCAGGGUAGUUUAUAGGAAUGUUGGAGGUUCCACUUAUUCUGGGAAUCAACUCGGGAAAAACAGGUAUUGCACUAGGUGGCUCUCUAUCGUUAGACCAAGUGUCCCACAUUUCCAACAUGCGGAGGCGCAGUGUCCUGUUCUCUUCAAUAGUUGCUGACUCUAACGCCGGGAUAACCGACAAUGAGCUAUACUCUUAGGGGGUAAUUGUUGUUAGAUGACUCUCUAAUAUGAUUUUGACACUUCCUUUGGAUCUUGUAAAGUAAGGGUGCGAAGCUAGGUUACCACAAAACCAACCACCUAAAAUACAGAACUUGUUCUCAACAGCAUACACAACAAACCGGUUAGUUUGAUACAAUUAAAACAUAGGGAAUCGCACGUUGGGGAAUGCAAUGCACCUAGACAGUUAAAUAUUUUUCUACAUGGUUUUCAAUGGUUGCGUGUCUCAUCCCGGCUUUUGUGACCUCCCAGAUCUUUGAAUCUUUUCUUUUCUUUUGCGCUUUUUCAUUAUUUGCUCUCUUUUCUUUGUGCGCUCUCUCUCUCUUUCUUAUGCCCUAUUUUCAUCAUUUUCUCUCUUAUUUGAGUUAUCUAAAGCCAUGACCGGAUAUGAUGGGGAUUUCCUACUUAUCACGAUGCCGCACGAAUCAGAUUAUUACGUAGUUCAGGGGAUAAAUGAGAAAUAAAAGAAAGAAACAUUUUUGGGUUUUCAAAUUUUCAUUAAAUAAAAACUUUUGAUUUUCCUCUAUUACAACGACUCCAUCAUACAGACUUUAGAACUAAAAAGCAAAGAAAACAGACUCAAAGUAAACUAACAGACUCUAAAAGAAACUGAAAUACAGACUCGAAAAGAAAAAUCAAGAAUACAUAAGUGCCUCCAAAACUACUCCAGUGGCCCGCGGGACAUCAGUCGGUCUCAAUGCGGGCCUACGUGCAAGAUCUCAUUAGAGGCAAUCCAGGUCGUCCAUUAUCUGGCAAAUAAAAGUCAUCACUGUGGCGAAGAAAGUGGAUCUAGUCAUAUCCUCGCACUCAUGGCAUUUCAUGACGAUAUAAUCAACAAUUCCUCUAAUCCUUUCUCUAAUGAUGCCUUUCUCUUGGAGAAGGCAUCCAAUUUGUUGAGAUCUAGCUUCCAGAACUUGGGUGUCAUUAUGGCUUUGCUCCUUGAACUGUUGCAUCUCCUCUUCCAGUCGAGACAUCAAUGCAUAACAAUGUUCCUCUCUGCCUUGAAGUUCUUUGUCUGUUUAGCCAUUUCAUUCUCGAGGGUAGUUAGCUUUUUCUUUAGAUUUGUGACCUCUCUAUCAUAUUUUCAUUUUAAUUGAUGAACAAACCCUGCCCGUCCUUCUGUGUUCUUCGCCUACUUUGCCCGGGCUCUUGCUAAUCUACCUUCGGACUUUUCCAAAUCAGUCCCAUACUCACAUACUUUCUGCCUAAGACCGUUUAUAAGUCUUUCAUAUGUUCUUCUCCUCUCCAGGUUUUCAGCAGCUAUCUUCAUCCUUUGAAUCUGGGCUCGGAGGGCUUCAUUUUCUCGAGCCAACUUUUUCUUCUCUCCUUCAUCAGCAGCGGCCUGCACACUACUAUCAAAUUUGAGAUCUUAGAUUUGCCCUUCUAAUUUGCUUAUUGUAACCCUGUAGCUUUUCUCCUUUGCUAACCAAUCCCAUUGUUCUUGUGCCCCAUCAGUGAAUUGUUGUACGUGGAGCCUUUUGGCGGGACGUUCAGGCUCUUGAUGGACUUGAACCCUUUUACUAUACCAGACCAUGUAUCUAGGCUCUACCUCACCCUUGGACAAAUCCCGUACUCACGUCGGUGGCUCCAGGAACCUACACUGAUGCCAAAUCUGGCAAACUUUUUCUUCCGGAAAUGCAUCUUUUGGACCUAGUUCAAUGACUUGUCGACUCAAAUCUUCAUCAUGAGGGAUAGUUUGGUACCUUCCCAGCUAGCGCAGAACCUUGUGUGGAGCAUACGACUGAAUACUCUGAAAACCCAUUAAUAAAAAAAAAGCAUACUCCGGCCGAUAUAUAAAUGACUUCAGUGACCAGAGCUAACCGAAUGUCCACUCAAUUUUGCUUGCAUUUAAGGAACCCAAAUGUGCAAACCAUUCCUUUGUACCUUCUAGAAACUCAUGACCAUUUACCCGGUUUUCAUGUUCCUCAAUGCAGUUGAGACCAGUCAGACCAUAGUUCACGUACCCCGAACAAUGACAAAGAUAUUCUUCCAUCCAUAUUUGUAAAAGCAAGUUGCGACCUUCAAAAUAAUUUCCCCCAGCUCGACAAAAAGUUAAAGCUCGGUAAAUUUCUGCUAGGAUCAUUGGUAUAAUAGUGCCAUUAGCCUUUUUGAUCAUGAAGUCAGCCAGCCCUACGAGCCCCAACUCUAUAUGUCCAUCACUCAUUGGGUAGAUUAGGGUGUCUAAGAAUGCCACUACAAAGGCCAGUCCCGACGGGCUUCCCAUUUGCCUUUGUUCCCUUGAUGACUUAAACUGGUAUUCGGAGCCGUAAAACCGUGGGGGUCCCCAUAACGGCAGUACAUGAAGUAAUAUGUGCAAAAUCCUUCAGCUAAAUUUCCAUCUUUGACUUUCCGACUAAUACUCAGAAGAUCCAGAAACUUGUGAGAGGUUACAGCCCUUGGUGCCACUGGGUAUCGGCUCCUUAGAUUCUCGUUAAGGCCAACAUAGCCUGCUAUCUCCUCAAGUGUAGGGGUUAACUCAAAAUCAGAGAAAUGGAACACAUUGUGCGCCGGGUCCCAAAAUGGUAUCAGAGCUUCAAUUAUGUCUAACCUUGGUUUAAUCUUCAAGAGACCAGUGAGCCCGCUUAAAGCUUAUAUCGCAACACCUCUGCUGACUUCCCCCCAGGUCAUUCCACCAUAUAUGGAGUCCUAUGGGGAUUUCCUCUACAACUUUGAAAGGUACAUUUUCAAUAGUGCUCAUCCUGCACAUUUAUUUAAAGAAAUCGGUUAAAAACAUGAUUUAUUUUGACCUAAAAGGAAGAUUAUUAUUUUUUGCAAAAUUGCAACUCAAACAACUUGCUCAAAACAAAACAUCUUUGCAAAUACGACACUUCAUCACUUCAGGAAAGAAGAUUUUAGGGUUGUGAUUGCUAAUUGGCCAAAAAUUAAAAAAAGACCAUAGGUGGCUAUUCUUGCAAAAAUAGUUUUCUGGUGCCCUGUCGGGACAUUUUUGGCUAAUCGCCUAACUUUAUUUAUGACAAAAAUGAUAACAUUUCAUAUUUUUGGGUUAUUUUUGCAAAAAUGGGGUUGGACCCGAUGAGGGUUACCUACAUAUCCCACAUACGGUGAGAAUCAAACCUGCGUAGUUCAGGAAGUUUUGACGCAACAGAAAAACAUGAAAUAUUUUUUGAAACAAUUUUCCCUUCUUUUCUCUUUUUUUUUCUCUUUUGUUUUCAAAAUUUCGGCAGAGUUUCGGUAUAUUUUGGACACCAGAUUUUUCAAAGGCGGGUAAUUAUCUCUCUCAUACCUCAAUUUAAUUUUUCCAACUUUUCUCCCUUAUUCUAGAAGCCGGUCAACAUGCAAUCCGAGGCAAAUAAGUGUACAAGUAGCAAGUAAAAUGCACCAGGAUGGUCUUUUGAUUUCGGGUGCACCUGUCCUAAACGGACCCAACCCCUGUGUUGAGUCCCCAAAGUCAAAUGCACAUGAUGCAAACAAGCGUUUCUACUAAGGAUCCGGCAUGAGGCUAUGUUAUUCUAGGUUUAAAAACUUGGAUUUAUUUGUUCUAGACAUGGCUUACCCGAGCGGACAGCUCGAGCCGAUGGGGGCAGCGUACCGGGAAUACAGAAGCUUUACCGGCUUUGCAACUUGUCCGAGCCUCGUUCUAAAAUUGAGAUAUAGCUCUAACAGAAAAGAAGUCACACGAAGUGCACACUUCCUAGAUGAUUUAGAAGACUAAGAGAGAAUCUCUCGAGGGUUUCGUAAUAAUUUAUAUAUAGUUCAAAUAAUAUCAAAGUGGCAUUCAACACAUUAGGCUCAAACAUGUAGAAACUAGAUAAUAAAAAAAGCCAAGUAUAACAGUUAUUCUUAGCUCGAAUUCUUGAACAUUGAACUAGAAGUUCUGGGUUCUUAUCCCCAGCAGAGUCGCCAGAGCUGUCACACCUCCUUUUUACACCCGAGGGGGAUAUAAGGGAAUUUUUCCAAUUAAAGUGACAUAAAUCGAAAUGAAAUUAUUUUAUUUAUCUAGAGUCGCCACUUGGAAUAAUUUAUUUGGUGUCCUAAGUCACCGGUUUAUUUUAAAUCCCAAAUUGAGGAGAAUUUUGACUUUAUUUAAAAGUCUGUGAAACCAAAAAUUUUAGGUAAGAAAUUCUGUUAACCAGGGAGAAGGUGUUAGGCAUUCCCGGGUUCCGUGGUUCUAGGACGAUCACUUAACUAUUAAUAAUUGGCCUAGUUAUCUGAUUUAUUACAUGUUUUAAACCUAAUGUGUAUUUUUAACUUUAUAACCGCUUUUAAUUAUUUUAAACCACUUUUUAGGGCUUAUGGAGUUAUUUCUUGAACAAGUUACGAUUAUCGUACACUUGCCAUUUUGGAACAAACCGCAAACCACGUUACAUAAAAUGCACCCACAAUUCGCGAUAUGUUUAUUCUAUUAUUGUUCAAAAUGGUUAUGAUUGGGUCACAUGAAAUGCACACCCGAAUUUAGGAUUAUGUAUCACGACUAUGCCACGGGAACCAUACCCAUAGUCACGAUGAUUUAUUAUAAACACGUCUAAAGCAAACUACGAAUGUUCAAAGUAUUUUCUACACUAGUUACGAAUGUUCAAAGUAUUUUCCACACUAGUUUUGGUAUUAGUGUGAGAGCCAUAGAUUAUGGAAUUCAUUUGUGGAUGACACACCUCAAUUUAUCUUAAAAUUCAAAGGAUUGUACUCAACUACUAGUAAUUCAUUAGUUAAAGUCGAUGUUUUGUCAAGUUCACGCAGCAGAAUUAGCUGAGCCCACUAAAUUUCCCUUGUUCAACUUCAUUUUGAUAGUAAUGGUGAGGCAUGCAAUUUAAUCCAAAGUUACAAAAAAAUGGAAAAAUAUUUCAUACUUGGUAGGAGAGGCAAUAGGGACAAGUAUUACACAACUAUGACAAUUUUAUUGAAUUGUAACAUCCCUAAAUGUAUUCUAAUACUUCCACUGACUAAAACAAGAAUAACAUAAUUAUUUCACAUUAAACCCAGAUUCAUUUCAUUAUGCACGGACCUAAUCAUUAAAGAUUCUCGCUCAGCAUUAACUGAAUUAGUCGACUAACAGUAGAAAUUAGACCCUACAUGAUCCCUUAGUUAUUUAAAUCAAUUCAAAUCCAAACCAUGUAGCUAGCUUGAUGGAUUGCAAGCUCUUAGAUAGGCUUGUAGUUGAGCCCAAUGAGUGAACAACUCAAGCCCAUGAGUUGUCAGUUACCAAACCAAAACAUUCAAAUGAAAAAAAUAUACAGGAAACAAUUGUCUUGUUGAAUAAUAAACAAGUUUCAAAUCAUACUUUUGAUAAAUUACUUUAUACAGCUGAAUCUACCAAGUUUGCUGUAACAAUAGGCUAUGAAUCAAUCAAUUACAGGCCCAUGGUUAAACAUUCCUGAAUAAUACUCAGCUGUGGAGUAACAAACAAACUUGAUUCACAUUAUCAAAAUAGCUACUCUAAUGACUACAAUUGAAAUUUCCAGUGGUGAUCUUCCAGAAAUAUGUCGGCUUUUCCAUGUCUAUUGAUAAUCGGACUUCUGUUUCAGCUUUGAAAUCCAUGGUUCUGACCAUGUUAAAGGUCAGAUUCAUAAACAACAUGGCUUCACACAUGCGACCUUCUGUAUUACCAAAUAAACUCAACUAAUAGAUGCCAAAAUAUUGGACAAGAAUGAUCAAAAAGAAAUAAUGUACAUAAGCUGAAAUAAACAGAUGGCCAAUGCUGUAUUUAACACACACAAGAAAAUAUAUUUUCAUGGUAUAGGGACACUGGAUGAACAUGGAGUUACAUAUUCAAAGAAAAGCUCAAGUAUUGUUGCAUUUAGGUGGAUGGAUCACAUCAUAAAAGGAGAAAAUAAGCACAUAUCAUUGACAGAAAUAACUUGCAUUUAUCUUUAGCAUCAGAUUUACAAAUACUUAAGCAUAGGGUAAAAUGUGUACGUAGUUGCUUAAAAUUUGAUCCAAAAGUGCUAAGUUAAAACAGAUAGUUCAGCAACCCAGGAAAACAGUAGUAUACACCAACCAGAGCUUCAGUAUCAGCUUAUAUCUUAGUUCAAGAACCCAAAAACUCAAAGAAAAUUCCUUCCAAAUUUUUGUAAAGAGAAGGAAAAAAGAAAAGCUGGAAGCUGGAUUUUUGUUUCAGAAGAUUUUCAGGUCUAUAUGUUGAUGAAUGUGUGAGUGUGAGUGCAAGUUUUCUUUUCUUUUUAUCGAGUGUCUCUAAUAGCAUCCAAAAGAAUAUUCUUAACCUAAAUUCUGAAUAGUACAAC
rnacentral:lncRNA from 1 species